UACGAAGGGGGCUAGCGUUGCUCGGAAUCACUGGGCGUAAAGCGCACGUAGGCGGCUUGUUAAGUCAGGGGUGAAAUCCUGGAGCUCAAACUCCAGAACUGCCUUUGAUACUGGCGAGCUUGAGUUCGGGAGAGGUGAGUGGAACUGCGAGUGUAGAGGUGAAAUUCGUAGAUAUUCGCAAGAACACCAGUGGCGAAGGCGGCUCACUGGCCCGGUACUGACGCUGAGGUGCGAAAGCGUGGGGAGCGAACAGG
rnacentral:rRNA from 1 species